GAAAUACUUAAGGUGAUUUGUAUUCCUCUAUAUCCCCAACUUUAGAAAGAAUGGAAUCUAUAUGCCUGUUUAAUAUCUCUGCUAGUUUAAGGGAGAAAAUAUAAACUAAGUAAGAUGAAACCAAGUGUGGAAUAUAGUGAGAGAAACGUAGGGGUUACCCAGUCUUGUUAAUAUUAAAUUUAAAAAUAGUAUAUAAAUCCUCAUAAUUUAUAUUUUUCUCUAAAAUGUUAUCCUUGAAGGAUAGCUACAUAUCAAUAAAGUUACUUCUUUAUUGUGCUGUCUCAGAAAAAAAUUUUCCCCUUUCUUAAUCUCUGAUGAUUCUGUUUAGUAUCCAGUGUUAACUUUUGGGCUGUGAAAGUUAUCAGCAUCUUUCAGUUAGAGCAGAGCUGUUUUUCUAAAUGAUUCUGAAUAUCUUUUCUCAUUUUUAAAGGAUAUCUUAUGCAUACUAUGCCGGGAGAGAUAACCACCUGUUUUCUGUGGAGAAGUAGUUGCUGUCUUUAUUACUCCAGGUGCAUAGCAAGAAUAGUGUUCAGCGCCUGUUUUACAGUGAGGCAGCAUGCACCCUGAGCAGCGAGAGUGGCCGCAUCAGACUUCUUCCCCAGGAGCUACAUUCAGCAUCUCAGGAUCAAGACAACAUUGCUUUGAAAAGUGAUUAUGAGUGUCUGUGCUUUAUCUUGACUUUUGUGCAUCUGUAAAGCAGGAUGUAUCCUAAAGUAUCAGGAAAGCCUAAGGGAAGUUAUUUUUUGGGUCUGGGAAUGCUCAAAAAUAUCAUAUAAAUUGAUCGUAAAUGUUUCUUUGCUUUAUGCCAUUUUGGCUUAUGAAAGUUUUCCUAGAUGGUCUACUUUUUUGGAUAGUGGGGGAAACCUGUAGAUGACUGUCAUGGGGCAGAAGGGAGGACGGUUUUCAUGAGGUACUGUGAUACAGACAAGAGUUAUCAAAUCAGGGAUGGAGAUGGAAUUCCCAGGACACAUUCUGAAACUUUAGAUCCAGGCCUACCCUAGACCCUGGGCCUUGGUGUUUUCCCUGGCUUCAGACAUGGCUGUGGUAUGUGUUAGGUAUGUGACUUUGGCAGAGUGCUCAGAAUUUUUAAGCCUCAUUUACUAAUCUAUAAAAUGAGCACCUACCUUAGGUUGAGAAUCCUUAUGACAUGCUUCUACCUAUGGGCCUUUGCACUUACUUUUGAUUAUGAUACUCUUUCCUAGACACCUACCUGCUCAUUCCUCAACCUUUACUCAAAUGUCAGCUUCUCAGCAAGGCCCUCCUGACCAUGCUGUUUACUAGUAACUUCUGGGAAUGGUGGCACAGUCCAUCCUGAGGGGGAAAGCUAUGAAAUAAAUGUGGUAGGAACAAGAGAGAGGGGCCAGAAAAUGCAAAUUGGCUACUCUCCUUCCCUACUUCCAAUCCCAGUGUGCUCCCUAUCAUAAUUUAGGUUUAACAUGAGGCAAAUUAUUCAGAGAAACUAGUCCACUAACGUAACACAGGGAAUGGACAUAUCAUGCAUUGUUUCAUCUGCCUAUGAUACAGACUUGCCUUUUGCCAUACCAGUUGUUUGAAACUGUAAGUAAGAAUAUUUUCCUCACUGAAAUGCCUGUAGUACCUGCCACUGAAAUGUUAACUCGUUAUGCCAUGUUAUAAAGAGGAAAGUGAUGUUUUGGGCCCUUUGAUUUUUAUGAAAUGGGCCAUAGUAUUUUGAGGUGGAAGUGAUCUUGGCGAUGAGCCAGCUCUAGCCCUUAUUUUACAAAACGCAGCUUGGGACUUCCAUUUGAUGAGCAGCAGGGCCGACUGUCUAGGCUGGGACCGAGGACUGACGCCACUUCAUAUUCUUGUCAUACAGCUAAUCUAAGAAGACUGAGGUGGGGAAGGUGUCACUGAAGUAUCAGGGGAAGAGAACAUAAAACUCUGAUGUUUGAAGUUUCACCUCUCUUCUUAUUCCCACUACUUAUUACAGUGAAACAAAGUUUUGAUCCAAUUGGUUUGAGUUAAAAGCAUUGUUUUUUCCCUUGAUGGAGGAAACUGGUUGUAAUUAAUACCACAUGAAUAGUGUUUGGAUAGCAAAGAAGAACACUAAAUACAACAAUGCGGGUGAAAUGUUAGCACGUAAGUAAUACUAAAAUAAAAUUAGUAUAGAAGGGAAAUAGAAAUCUAUAGUACUAAGUCAGCAGAAAUAAUUACGAUCUUUUUGGCUAGGAUAGUUCAAUAAAAAUUUUUAUAUCGAGUGCCUAUACUGUGCUGGUGUGUAAGUAAGUUUCUCUAAAAGCUAUAGGAAGCUAAUGAUAUUUUUUACUUAGAAGAAUAAGAAGAAUCAAUAACUUGAUAACCAAAAUGAAUAAUUUGUUCCUAUUUGGGUACUUUAAAAAAAUUAAUUGCC
ensembl:lincRNA